AUGAAUUUUCUUUCCAACUUAUUUCUAUUUAGCCACAACAAGAUGAAUGGCAAUUUAUGUUGUGGUUCAGAAGUCUAUGACCACCACAACCAGUUGUUGAGAUGCUGCUCAGGUCAUCUCUACAACCUAACACGUUUAAGUGGGGAAACAGAGUGCUGUGGAAACCAUCUGCUGGAAUAUAAGACACAAACUUGCUGUUCUUCCUCAACCAAUGCCAUAAUUUAUGACACCAAAUCAAACCACUAUUGCUGUGGGCAUUUCUAUUACAACACGUCCCUGUGGAGCUGCUGUGCUGAACAUCUCAAACCAACACCAACGCCUAACAGCUCUCCUGCAGAAUACAGGCUUAAACCACUAAUGGACCUGAUCCCUGAAAUGUGCAAUAAAACAGUGUUCUUUGGCAAAGUGGAGAGUUUGGCACUUGAAAAUUAUCAGCGUCUCAUUGUGUUGAAAGUUGUUGGACAGGUCGAUGUAAAAUCGGAAAAGGUCAUCAAAGACCCUUGGCUUCAUGUGUCCCUGCAUCACUGCAGCUCUCCUGCCACAGAGAACGGCAUGAUCUACCUUUGGGAGGAAAACAACGAUAGGACGUACAAGCUUCUCUCUCACCCUGUUGACCUAACCUCUGACAUUCACAUGUUCUAUGCUGUAUGUUACCAAAAGAUGGGAUAGAAAUAUGGAUUGAGGUCUAUUUCCAAUUAUUUCAAACCAAAUUCAAUGCAUGCUGGUUGUCAUGAGAUUUAUGUCCGGAAAAUACAUUUUAUCCAUCAUUAAUGCUAAAUGACCCAUACAUAAUGUGUGUUAAGGGCCACUAUAUUAAAAAAAAAAAGCUAAGAACCUUUACUCUCUUAAGACAGGCUUUCAAAAGUCUUUGUUGCUGUAUCAUUGCACAGCUUUAUGGCAGAGGCAUCACAUGUGCAUCUGUGCAUUUUGCCUCAUUGGUUAUUUUUAUUUCAUUCCAAUAAUGGAUUGACCCUGUUUGGAGUGCAAAGGGGAUAGCUCACCCAAAAAUGAGAAUUUGCUGAAUUUACUCACCCUCAGGCCAUCCAAGAUGUAGGUGGUGACUUUUACUUUUAUAAAUUUUUUUAGUUGAACAGUAAAAAAGAUUUUUAGCUGAAACCGUGGUCUUUGGUGAUUCAUAAAAUGCGAGUCAGUGGCUUUAUGUGACAUUAUUACCUGUAAUUAUGAUUAUUAUUACCUGUAAUCCACAUAAAUCUGAUUAUUUUCCGUGUACUGGCUCUUUCGGACAACUUUUUUUCUAUGAAUUGGUUCAGUUCACUAGUUAGUUUAUGUAAUCAUGCAAUGAAUAAACAGGCUAUACGAAAUCAUAUUAUUAAAGCACCCAGUAAUUAUGUGAAUCACGGAUGUUUUGCAAGUCUAUAGCAUAUAAAGUGAAUAAGUGAACUGGUCUUCAUCAGCUCACCUUUUUAAAUAAACAAAGACAAACUAUAAAAACUUUAAUUUCGCCCCUUCAUUCAAGUGCUUGGUUCAUGCAUGCACUUAUCACUGGUCUUCUGAGUCAGAACUGUUUCCUCAGUGCAGUGUACUGUUGGAGUAACUGGGGCACUGGAUGAGCCGGUAAAAACCAGCAUCAUAGGAUCAUAUAUGGUAUUUUGGCUCAUUUCGAGUUGGUGUGACUGUCAGGCAUGUGCGAAAGUGAGUUUUGAUUGAGUAACUUGUAGAUCAGUGCUGCUCAAGUCACGAACUGACGGUUCAGUCCGAUUUGUAAACUGGUUCAUCUAGUUCACUAAAAAGAAAUAGGCUAAAAACCGGACAUCAUCUUUACCAGAAAUCUUCUUUACAGUUCUACUCAAGAAAAAAAAAAAAGUCGCCUACAUCUUGGUUGGUCUGAGGGUGAGUAAAUUAACAGAAAAUUUUCAGUUUUGGGUGAACUAUUCUUUUAAGCUAUUUAAUCAGUCAGGUCA
rnacentral:lncRNA from 1 species